GGGCGCAGCCUGAAUCCAGCCAUGCCGCGUGCAGGAAGAAGGCCUUCGGGUUGUAAACUGCUUUUGUACGGAACGAAAAAGCCCUGGUUAAUACCUAGGGCUGAUGACGGUACCGUAAGAAUAAGCACCGGCUAACUACGUGCCAGCAGCCGCGGUAAUACGUAGGGUGCGAGCGUUAAUCGGAAUUACUGGGCGUAAAGCGUGCGCAGGCGGUUUUGUAAGACAGAGGUGAAAUCCCCGGGCUCAACCUGGGAACUGCCUUUGUGACUGCAAGGCUGGAGUGCGGCAGAGGGGGAUGGAAUUCCGCGUGUAGCAGUGAAAUGCGUAGAUAUGCGGAGGAACACCGAUGGCGAAGGCAAUCCCCUGGGCCUGCACUGACGCUCAUGCACGAAAGCGUGGGGAGCAAACAGGAUUAGAUACCCUGGUAGUCCACGCCCUAAACGAUGUCAACUGGUUGUUGGGUCUUAGCUGACUCAGUAACGAAGCCAACGCGUGAAGUUGACCGCCUGGGGAGUACGGCCGCAAGGUUAAAACUCAAAGGAAUGGACGGA
rnacentral:rRNA from 1 species